UGGGGAAUAUUGGACAAUGGGCGCAAGCCUGAUCCAGCAAUGCCGCGUGUGUGAAGAAGGCCUUCGGGUUGUAAAGCACUUUUAUCAGGAGCGAAACGCUGUCGGCUAAUACCCGGCGGAACUGACGGUACCUGAGGAAUAAGCACCGGCUAACUUCGUGCCAGCAGCCGCGGUAAUACGAAGGGUGCAAGCGUUAAUCGGAAUUACUGGGCGUAAAGCGUGCGUAGGCGGUUUCUUAAGUCUGCUGUGAAAUCCCCGGGCUCAACCUGGGAAUGGCAGUGGAUACUGGGAGGCUAGAGUGUGUCAGAGGGUGGUGGAAUUCCCGGUGUAGCGGUGAAAUGCGUAGAGAUCGGGAGGAACAUCAGUGGCGAAGGCGGCCACCUGGGACAACACUGACGCUGAGGCACGAAAGCGUGGGGAGCAAACAGGAUUAGAUACCCUGGUAGUCCACGCCCUAAACGAUGCGAACUGGAUGUUGGUCUCAACUCGGAGAUCAGUGUCGAAGCUAACGCGUUAAGUUCGCCGCCUGGGAGUACGGUCGCAAGACUGAAACUCAAAUGAAUUGACGGGGUCAUAGCUGUUUCCU
rnacentral:rRNA from 1 species